UUGUAUUGUAUUGUAGUAUUGAUAACAUGAAUAUAUAAAUACACGCUAGCUAACACUUCAGAUAUCUUCCUGCAAUCUACAAACUACCGUCAGACACCAUGAGGGUUCUAUUGUUGAUAACUGUAGUAUUGACGUGCCUAGCCUCGCUGGCCGUCGGACAAUCGAAUGUCAACGCAUGUAUCGCGGCGUGUCCUCAAAACAUCGCUAUUGUUUGUGGAAGAGUUGGAAAAACUAUAUCUGCCUACCGGAAUCGUUGCUAUUUGCCUUGUUUCCACGCUACAUUCGUUGCAAAUUGGCCCUGCAAAGUAACUAAUGAUCGUAAGAUACUUUAAUGAUCUGAUCUGGAGCUACCAUUAACUAAAAGCUACACUGAACGCAACAAAAUAUGCAUGAAUAAAUAAAAUUAAUAAAAACAUUUAUAUGAAA